UGUGAAAAUCUUUUAUGUAAUGUAUUCGUUUUGAAAUGAUCUAAAGUUUCCAGUAUUUAAAUUUCGAGCACGAAAUUUAUUUUAAGGGUGGUAGAGUGUAACGGUCCGUAUUUUUAAGCAAAUUUAUUAAGAGCUAAAUAUUUAACUUAGCUUAAUUAUGAUAUUUUAUUAGUAAGAUUGAUUUAAAUAUUUUAAGGUAAAAGGGAAUACUAAUGUUAUAAUGGUAAAUCACUUAUAUGGUUUUCUGAUUUAUAUUUUAAGCUUGGGAAAUUAAAAGAGAAAAAACAUCUCAUUCUUUUCCUCCCUUCCUCGUGUCAACUGUUGUCAAAAGACAACACAUCCUCAUCUUCUAUCAUCGUGUCAAAAGGAGCAAAUCUUUCAAUUUGAGUUGUCAAAAUUCAUGUUAUCUCCAUCAUUGAGAUGUAAUCUCUUUAAUUUUUCUGAUUUUGGGCAAAGCUAAGAACCCCAAUUCUUCAUUCUCGCAUCUCCUCUGUUUUUGUCAAUCUGUUCUGCAAUUUUCUCCAACAUGCAAUCCAAAUUUGCUCCUUGUUUCUUCAUAAAAGUUGUAGAUCUCUUCGAGCUAAUAAAUUUGGGCACAAAAAUCACACGAUUCGGAGUUCGGAGCUAUGAGUUACGCCCUUUGCAAGUUUGGUGUUAUUGCUGAAAUUCUGAUGCGUUGCUGCUGUGCGACAGUGCUUGUUGUUGAUUUUUGAUCGGUUUCGAAUGUCUUUUGCAAGGUAUAACCCAGAUUCAUUUCUUUGUUUUCUCUUAUUGAAUUCCAAGAACCUAAAUUCAGAAUUUAUGUUGAUGUUGUUAAGAACAUUCUUCAAAGCCAAAAAUUCGAAUCUUGGGUAUAAUAGCAAAUCAGAUCAUUGGGUGUUUUUGAUGUUGAGAAAAAGAUUAAAACUUUCUUCUGUUAAUUGAUUGAAAUUGUUUUUGGAACAUAUAAUCUUAGUAAGCUUGCUACUGCCAUUGUUCUUCCUCCUCUUGUUCAUGAAUAUAAGCUAAGUUUCUUACCACCUCUUGUUUGAUUAAAGACAUUCAAGUUCCUGUAAAUGGGUUUUAUGUUUCUGAUUAUAUAAAUAAGUUCAGUUUUUUUUGAAUAUUAUUGUUGAAUAGCAAAAUCAGUUAUGUUAAGCAUUUGUCAUACUUAAAGAUUAAAUCUUUUCUAUUUAUUUAAUGGGUUGGAUUGAGGUUUAUAAUUUGUAUUUAUAUUUCUUAAGUUAGUUUAUGAAAUUUAAUUUCAAUAAGUCAUGUUGUUUGAUAGUAUCCUCUGUGAAUUAGAAUGAGGUUAAUUGGAGUUAGAGAUUGAUAUAGGGAAUUGGAUUAGUAAAAUAGUUUGUAAAUAAGGAGUUGUGGGUAGUUCAUGAAAGAGGUUAGAAGGUAUGAGAAAGUUUAUUUCUUUAUCUAAUUGGUAGUAAGGAUGUUAAUUGUUGUUCAUAUAUAUUGUUGUGAGGUGAUUGUUGGAGAUUGAUAAAGAAUUUAGAGAUGUUGGACACUUGAAGAUUAUUAUGGAAUUGAGCGUUCUUUGGGGAAAUGAAAAAGAGUUCAUUGUUAGUGAUCUUGCAGGUUCGUAUGUGGAAAGCUCAUAAUGGAGUAAAAGGAAGAAUUUAGGUAUCAAGGUUAUAAUUAGGUGUAAGGGUUCAGAAGUUGUAUUUAGGAUUAUUUAUCCUUAUUUGUAUAUAAAUUAUUAUAUUGCUUUAAGAGUCGAGCAAGGUAUUAUGUAAUAUGUUAUUUGGUUAUUGAGAAUGAUUUGUUGUGGGCCUGACCCACAGGUCCAGGAUCGCUUUAAGAUUUAUGUUUCCGCUGCGAGUAAAUAUUAAUUCGAGGUUAUUAAGUAUUAUUUGAGUUUUAUGAA